rnacentral:rRNA from 1 species
UACAGAGGGGGCAAGCGUUAUUCGGAAUUAUUGGGCGUAAAGAGCUCGUAGGCGGUUUGGUAAGUCUAGUGUGAAAUCUCCACGCUCAACGUGGAGGGGCCACCCGAUACUGCCAUGACUGGAGUCCGGUAGAGGAGUGUGGAAUUCCCGGUGUAGCGGUGAAAUGCGCAGAUAUCAGGAGGAACACCGAUGGCGAAGGCAGGUCUCUGGGCAUUAACUGACGCUGAGGAGCGAAAGCAUGGGGAGCGAACAGG